UAGGGAAUCUUCCACAAUGGACGCAAGUCUGAUGGAGCAACGCCGCGUGAGUGAAGAAGGCUUUCGGGUCGUAAAACUCUGUUAUUGAAGAAGAACGUGUGUGACAGUAACUGGUCAUGCAGUGACGGUAUUCAAUCAGAAAGUCACGGCUAACUACGUGCCAGCAGCCGCGGUAAUACGUAGGUGGCAAGCGUUGUCCGGAUUUAUUGGGCGUAAAGCGAGUGCAGGCGGUCUUUUAAGUCUGAUGUGAAAGCCUUCGGCUUAACCGAAGAAGGGCAUCGGAAACUGGGAGACUUGAGUGCAGAAGAGGAGAGUGGAACUCCAUGUGUAGCGGUGAAAUGCGUAGAUAUAUGGAAGAACACCAGUGGCGAAGGCGGCUCUCUGGUCUGUAACUGACGCUGAGGCUCGAAAGCGUGGGUAGCAAACAGGAUUAGAUACCCUGGUAGUCCACGCCGUAAACGGAUGAAUACUAAGUGUUGGAGGGUUUCCGCCCUUCAGUGCUGCAGCUAACGCAUUAAGUAUUCCGCCUGGGGAGUACGACCGCAAGGUUGAAAC
rnacentral:rRNA from 1 species